GGGCGGUUAGCUCAGAUGGCGAGAGCGCCUGCCUUACAAGCAGGAGGUCACUGGUUCGAGCCCAGUACCGCCCACGA
rnacentral:tRNA from 1 species